CCACUACCGGGCUCACGUCGCUCAUCUUGCCGGGCUGCAGGCUGCUGGAGGGGGGGCUGAAGCGCCGGCUGGUGCUCGGAUCUACGGGAAUACGCAUCACAACAGCCACAAUUCCGUAGUGGAGCCCGGCAGGUUCAGCAGUCCAUCUCGGCGGCGCGUGUGACCCUUCGCUGUCCGCCACCGCCAAGCCGAGCGUGGCUGUCCAGCUCGCGGCGCCGUCGCCUGCCGGCGCCUCCUUCUCCUCCUCCGAGGCCGCUGCGCGCUCCCCUCGCUGCCUGCGCGCUCCGAGUCCUCCGGCCGCCGAGUCCUUCCUUGCCCCGUUUCUCUCUCCCUCUCACUCGCCUCCGUCUACCUCGCAGCCCGGUCCCUCCAGCUCUUUGCCAAGUGCCCCGGGCCCCCCUGGCGUUUCAAGGUGCCCGGAGGUAAGUGGGGGGUGGGGGGGAGCGGAUCUCGGGGCGACAGAUCUGGAGCCUGCGGAUCGCAGCCGCUGCCGCCGCCCGCCGGCCGCCAGAAGCGCCGGCACGCUGCGCUCGGCGCCCGAAGUUGGAAGGAGGCGGUCCCCGCCUAGGACAUCGCCGCCUGCGUCCUCCGCUCCCCCUUCACCCCCAGGACCAAGAACCUCUUCUCGAUCUGACUACGAUGAAGCUGAGAAGCUAGAGAGUCUCAGGCUGCUCCUGCUGACGUUAAUUUUUCGUUAUAACUUCAGGAGUGGAGGAAGGAAAAUUCUCAAGUGUCCGAGUUGACUUCUGAGCACUCUUCACCCUUCCCCCCCAACCCCACCCCACAUUGGCUGGGGCGGGGGGGGGGGGAAGGUUUUUACAGACUUCGGGGGUGGUUUUUCCCCCCUUAGGUGACAUCAGAAAAGGGUGACAGGAGGGCAUGUCAAAAUAGUUUUAGAAACUCUAACGGAUGUCUGGACAUUUUUAUUAUACAGUCCUUCUUGUCAUUACUGGAGAAUAAGGAUGGGUUGCUUUUUUUUUUUUAAGAAAUAAAAAAAAGACAGCUUGGUAAUUAAAAUAAGUUGUAAGUUGCAAAAACGCUUGCUGAGAAAGGGGAAAUACACAGCGGUUAUCCAUUAAUUUUCCAAUCUUUUAUUAAGUCCAGUCUUCGUCUCAGACUAAGUCUAGUGUCUUAAACUGUCUUCCUCGCCGCUCCCCACUUUGGAGGAAUAAAAGUAAAAGGUAAAAAAUG